AUGGCGGCUCGCAGUGGUCCUCUGUGGUGCAAGUCCGAGCGUGAGGCUCUCUAAUGAGUUAUGACAUCCGAUGAGUUGUGACCUUGCCGGGAAUGAUGACGUGGGAUAUUUUAUAGGCUCGUGUUUGUCUUCGUUCAUUGGUGAAUUCAUAUGCUGCAAAUGUGGAGGUAUUUAAUGAAAACGGUCAAUUAUGCUGGCUAGUAAUAAAUAUUCAGUAAGAUGUACAAUAUCAUGCGAAUGACAUAAUAAGCGAACAUAACCAAAGUUAGUUUUUCGUAACCGAAAAUUGUUCUUCGGUUAUGACUAGUUGUAUGGACUAAAUGAUAUUUAUGAGCUAAUUUGCAAUCAUGGGCGGACCUAGCCUUUGGCCAGGGUGGGCGGCCGCACCCCUUGAAAAAAAAAUUAGUGUAUAUAUUAGGCAAAAAACCUGACCGCACCCUUGAAAAUAUGGUUGACCACCCCAUCCGCGCCCCCAACAAAAAGUUUCUGGGUCCGCCACUGUUUGCAAUUUGAAUUUUUGUUGCAUAUAUUUUAAGCUACAUUGGUAAAUUACAACAUAAACUACAUAUUAGCCAGCGGUAUCCGAUAUUUCGAUACUUGUUGGUAGUGUUGGUAGUGUGUAGUUUACGUAUCUACACUCGAGUGUUUUGAGUCCUGAUUGACUUAUAAGUUAUAAUUACAAUAAACCAAUAAAAGUAAAUUUGUUGGUCCAUAACCAAUAAAUGGGCUUUCGAUCCAAAUAGUGACUAUGGACCGGGUCCCGGGCCUAGAGUUGUUUUUCUUGGGCCUUUGUAUGUUUUUUGGGGCCUUUGUUUUUCUCUGCCUCUCACAAGUUAUUGGGCCCUUUUUGAACUAAAUUCUAACACUUGUUAUAUUGUUAACAUAUGCGCUUAAAUUACAAGUUAAAAUUUUUAUUUUAUAAAUUAUUAUAUAAUAAAGUAGUGCUUAGACCACAAAACUUACACUUACAUAAAAUAACCUAUCAUUUUAAGUUUUGACAUAUACCCCUUAUAUAUAUAUAUAUAUGUACACAAAAUAUAACAAGUCAACACAAAAACCUGUCAUGUUGGUCCAAGAUCGACCCGUUUAGCUAGAUGUGUUUGUAGGUUUGACCCAAAACUAGCCCGGACCAAUUUAAAAUCAUGUCACGUUUUCAUGUCACUUAUGAUUUAUAAACCCUUGGUUGAAAUAAAUCUUUGUGUUAUUAAUUGUGUGUAUAUAUUGUGGAAACUGUUUACAAGUAUUAUUUAUUAUUAGUUUAAACGAUUUAAAGGACAAGAUUUAAUAUUUAUGUGGUGCAACGCCAUUCACACAAGUAGGUGGGGGAUGUGAUUAUCUUGGUGGCCUGGAAGAAUCCAUCCAUCCAUGUCAACUUUUCGUACUAAUUAUUAUAACCAGUCAUUUCAUAUUUUUUAAAAGAUAUGAUAUCAGAGAAUCGUAUUACGAAAACUUCAAAACCAUUAAAAAAACAUAAUAAAUAAUUUAAUAAAAGACCAAUUGGUAUUCGACCACAAAUAUAAAUACUUCGUUUUUAGUAUAUUGAAUACUUAUAUGGGUGAGUUAAAAAAAAACCUUAAACCUAGAAAAACACUAUCAAUCAAUAACUCUUAUUUUGUUUAUUUAUUUUAGUUAAAAUACUACAGUAUAGAUAUGUAUAUAUACAUGUAGCUUAUGAGCUGUAUGCAUGUAUGUAUUUCGCAAGCUAUGUAUAAUUGUCUCUUUUUUAUAUUUUUUUUUUUCAAAAACAAAUAACAUAAAAGAAAGAUCCAUAGUGGUUUUUCUUUUGCGGUUCCCAAGUAUUUUAAUAUGUAAGA
rnacentral:lncRNA from 1 species